UACGAAGGGGGCUAGCGUUGCUCGGAAUCACUGGGCGUAAAGGGUGCGUAGGCGGGUCUUUUAAGUCAGAGGUGAAAUCCUGGAGCUCAACUCCAGAACUGCCUUUGAUACUGAGGAUCUUGAGUUCGGGAGAGGUGAGUGGAACUGCGAGUGUAGAGGUGAAAUUCGUAGAUAUUCGCAAGAACACCAGUGGCGAAGGCGCUCACUGGCCCGAUACUGACGCUGAGGAGCGAAAGCCAGGGGAGCAAACGGG
rnacentral:rRNA from 1 species